rnacentral:rRNA from 1 species
CUGCCAGACUCCUACGGGAGGCAGCAGUGGGGGAUAUUGCACAAUGGGGGAAACCCUGAUGCAGCGACGCCGCGUGGGCGAAGAAGUCUUUCGGUCUGUAAAUCCCUAUCAGCAGGGAAGAAGAAAUGACGGUACCUGAGUAAGAAGCAUCGGCUAACUCCGUGCCAGCAGCCGCGGUAAUACGGAGGAUGCGAGCGUUAUCCGGAUUUAUUGGGUUUAAAGGGUGCGCAGGCGGCACGGCAAGCCGGCGGUCAAAUCGCGGGGCUCAACCCCGCCCAGCCGUCGGAACUGCCGGGCUAGAGUGGGCGAGAAGUGCGCGGAAUGCGUGGUGUAGCGGUGAAAUGCAUAGAUAUCACGCAGAACUCCGAUUGCGAAGGCAGCGCACCGGCGCCCUACUGACGCUCAGGCACGAAAGCGUGGGUAUCGAACAGGAUUAGAUACCCUCGUA